rnacentral:rRNA from 1 species
GACGAACGCUGGCGGCGUGCUUAACACAUGCAAGUCGUACGGUAAGGCCCUUUCUGGGGUACACGAGUGGCGAACGGGUGAGUAACACGUGAGUAACCUGCCCACAACUUUGGGAGAACGCUAGGAAACUGGUGCUAAUACUGGAUAUGUGCUACUGCUGCAUGGUGGGGGUUGGAAAGCUCCGGGGGUUGUGGGUGGACGCGCGGCCUAUCAGCUUGUUUGUGGGGUAGUGGCCUACCAAGGCGGUGAUGGGGAGCCGGCCUGAGAGGGUGACCGGCCACAUUGGGACUGAGAUACGGCCCAGACUCCUACGGGAGGCAGCAGUGGGGAAUAUUGCAAAAUGGGCGCAAGCCUGAAGCAGCAACGCCGCGUGCGGGAUGACCGCCCUCGGGUUGUAAACCGGUUUCAGCAGGGAAGAAGCUUUUUGUGACGGUACCUGCAGAAGAAGCACCGGCUAACUACGUG